rnacentral:tRNA from 1 species
GCCUGGGUGGCUCAGUCGAUUAAGCGUCUGACUUUGGCUCAGGUCAUGAUCUCACAAUUUGUGGGUUCAAGCCCCACAUCAGGCU